AUUGAACGCUGGCGGCAGGCCUAACACAUGCAAGUCGAGCGGAUGAAGGGAGCUUGCUCCUGGAUUCAGCGGCGGACGGGUGAGUAAUGCCUAGGAAUCUGCCUGGUAGUGGGGGAUAACGUCCGGAAACGGGCGCUAAUACCGCAUACGUCCUGAGGGAGAAAGUGGGGGAUCUUCGGACCUCACGCUAUCAGAUGAGCCUAGGUCGGAUUAGCUAGUUGGUGGGGUAAAGGCCUACCAAGGCGACGAUCCGUAACUGGUCUGAGAGGAUGAUCAGUCACACUGGAACGGAGACACGGUCCCUACUCCUACGGGAGGCAGCAGUGGGGAAUAUUGGACAAUGGGCGAAAGCCUGAUACAGCCAGGCCGCGUGUGUGAAGAAGGUCUUCGGAUUGUAAAGCACGUUAAGUUGGGAGGAAGGGCAGUAAGUUAAUACCUUGCUGUUUUGACGUUACCAACAGAAUAAGCACCGGCUAACUUCGUG
rnacentral:rRNA from 1 species